rnacentral:rRNA from 1 species
GAAUCUUCCGCAAUGGACGAAAGUCUGACGGAGCAACGCCGCGUGAGUGAUGAAGGUUUUCGGAUCGUAAAACUCUGUUGUUAGGGAAGAACAAGUAUCGUUCGAAUAGGGCGGUACCUUGACGGUACCUAACCAGAAAGCCACGGCUAACUACGUGCCAGCAGCCGCGGUAAUACGUAGGUGGCAAGCGUUGUCCAGAAUUAUUGGGCGUAAAGCGCGCGCAGGCGGUCCUUUAAGUCUGAUGUGAAAGCCCACGGCUCAACCGUGGAGGGUCAUUGGAAACUGGGGGACUUGAGUGCAGAAGAGGAAAGUGGAAUUCCAAGUGUAGCGGUGAAAUGCGUAGAGAUUUGGAGAAACACCAGUGGCGAAGGCGACUUUCUGGUCUGUAACUGACGCUGAGGCGCGAAAGCGUGGGGAGCAAACAGG